rnacentral:lncRNA from 1 species
UUUUUUUUUUUUUUUUUUUUUUUUUUGGUCUUUUUGCCUUUUCUUGAGCCACUCCCACAGUGUAUGGAGAUUCCCAGGCUAGGGGUCGAAUCUGAGCUGUAGCCACCGGCCUACGCCAGAGCCGCAGCAAUGCGGGAUCCAAGCCCCGUCUGUGACCCACACCAUGGCUCAUGGAAACGCUGGAUCCUUAAUCCACUGAGCAAUGCCAGGGAUGGAACCUGCAACUUCAUGGUUCCUCGUCAGAUUCAUUAACCACUGGGCCACGACGGGAACUCCAGGAUAUAACAUGUAAAACAACAUUUUUUCCCCUUUUCCUAUUGUUUCUUUUUAUGGCCAUACCCAUGGCAUAUAGAAGUUCCCAAGUUAGGGGUCGAAUCAGAGCUUCAGCUGCUGGCCUAGAUCACAGACACAGCAACACUGGAUCUGAGCUGCACCUGAGACUCACAUCACAGCUUGUGGCAAUGUUGGUCUCUUAACUCACUGAGUGAGGCCAGGGAUUGAACCCACAUCCUUACAGACAAUAUAUUGGGUUCUUAACCUACUGAGACACAACAGGGAUUCCUAAAACUACUUUUAUAUGAAAAUCUAACUUUUAGAAAGAUGAAGGAUUCACUUUGAAAAGGUAAAUGUACAUGUAAUGUUUUUAUUUAGUAACCAAACUCAGACUGAACAGAGAUAGUUACUAGGAUAACUGAAUUUGAACUCACCUUCAGCUUGGAGCUAGGUUUAUUUUAGAGCUAAGAGUCUAUUGAUUAACAGAAAAAAAAAAAAAAAGUACCACAUCUCACAUCCCACAGUUUGUAAACUAUGAUUUUCACCAAUUUCUUGUAGGAAAUUCAUCUGGGUUUACUAAGAUUUCAGGCCAGGGAUAAGUCUGCAUAAUGGGCCAAUUAAAACUCUUAGAAUUGUAGUCAAUUUAUUUUGACAGAUGAUUAUGGUACUGUUGGAAAUGGUUUGCAGAGAUGAGAGUGGAACUCCAAAGAACUGUUCAUUUACCGAAUUCCGAUGGAUGGUGAAAAGGCCACAUUUGAAAGGUAAUUCAGAAUGUUUUCAAAUGCUGAAUGUCCAGCAAAAGGAAGGUAAGAGUUUGUGAACGCAGCCAGUUAAGUUUUGGUAAUAAUAUAAUUCUUAUUAGUCCUAAGAGAAACUCUUAGAUAAGACAAGUUAGAAUGGUAACCUUAAGUGCCUGUAUCAGGCUGCGAAUAGCCUCAAGAAAAACAAAUACAAUUAACUGCCCAGAAAGACUUAUUUCAGCAGAGGAGAAUCUGAAUCGUCCCAUGGGCAACCAUGACCUUGAACAUACUUGUUAAGAUGUUAGCAUGUCAGUGACCCGAGAAAAGAGGUUAUCCUAAAAGUGCUGACCUGCCACAAGCAAAUGAUACAAUUUUAUUUUUAAAGAUGCAAUUUUCUCCCAAUAGAAAGGCAAAUUUGUAUCUCAGCCAGGCCAGUAUGUCUCUGAUUGUUUGAGAAAAUGUUGCAGCAAUAGCAAACACCUGAUUUCCCAGAAGCUGUAUUGCCAAAUGAACAGUCUAAAGAAAAUAACCUCUGAGGCCAUUUGGACGCCAAACCAACAAGGCUUCUGUGACUCUGGCUGAAUGUCUAUGUCUUGUGAAACAGCUUUUGGCAACAUUACAAGUCUCUGACUAUUCAUCAUACAUUUCUUAAAUUUGCAGGGGAAGAUAGAUGAAAGCAUGCUGAAAUUUACACUAAAAUUAGAGCUGUUGUUUCUCAGGACACUGAUCCAAGGGCAUUUACAUUUAGGAAGGUUGGAAACAACUACUUAGAGCUGGCUGUAUCAGGCAAUGUCCCUCUUAGCUCCAGGCUUCAUUUCUACUUCAAUCAUUUACCAUCCACUGAAACUCUAAAAUUUGAUGAGUGGGUGUAUUAGUUUUCUAUAGUUGUUGUAACAAAUAACCACAAAUUUAGUGGCUUAAGAUAGCAUAAAAUGAUUAUAUUACAGUUCUGGAUUUCAGAACUCUAAAGUGGGUUGGCAGGCUGCAUUUUUCCUGGAGGUUCUAGUGGAGAAUCCAUCCCCUUCCCUUGCCAUCCUCUAGAGGACAUCUGCAGUCUUUUGUUUAUGGCCCCUUACUUCAUCUUCGAAGGCACACAGCAUCAUCAAAGUUCCAUCCCCUCUUCUCUCUCUCUCUCUUCACACACACACACACACACACACACACACACACACACCCCUUUCCCUAUCUAUUUAUUUACCUAUGGUCUCUACUUUCAAUGUCACAAAUCCUCUUUGAUUCUGAUUCUCACACUUGUUUUUGUGAUUUUUUUAAUUUUUUUUUUUUUUGUCUUUUGUCUUUUUAGGACUGUACCCGUGGCAUAUGGAGGUUCCCAGGCUAGGGGUCAAGUUGGAGCUGAAGCUGCUAGCUUACACCAGAGCUACAGCAACCCCAGAUCUGAGCUUUGUCUACGACAUACACUACAGCUCAUGGUAAUGCCAGAUCCUUAACCCACUGAGCAAGGCCGGGGAUCAAACCUACAUCCUCAUGCAUACUAGUUGGGUUCGUUAACCGCUGAGCCAUACAGGAACUCCCUCCCAAUUUUCUUUUUUAAGGACCCUUGUGAUUAUGUUGGACCCAUAGAAACAAUCUAGGAAAAUCUUACCAUCUCAUACCCUCAACAUAAUCACAUCUCCAAAGGCCUUAUGUCUGUAUAAGGUAACAGAUUAACAGGGUCUUGUGUGUUAGGAUGUGGGCAAACUUGGGCCUUUAUUCUGUUUUUCACAAGUGUGAUGUGAAGUUGGCUUCUACCUCAGUGAGUUGAGCAGAAAAGUAGAUCCUGGAGGUUCAGUGGUUCCAGCACAAUCUUGACAGCAGUCUUAUGAAUUCUUAAUUUUGACCAGAAACUCUUGUUUCUCAAAUCUAGAUUAGGAUUUUUCACUUAUAGUGAGUAGAAAAUCCCAUAGAUUAUUUUUAAUCACAGCUAGUGUUAAAAGGCAUAGGAAGAUUAAAGAGAGGAGCCAGAACAGUCUUUCUCAGUAUUGAACAAGCAAUUAUUAACACUCCUCCAUAGUCUCUGCACUAGCAAAUACGCUAAGCUGAUACUUUCUUGUAUGGACUCAGUGAGAGGUUCUUCAGAGAAUCCUAGGCUGUCUUUUCACCCCCAUCAUAUUACAUUCCAUGAUGUAACCAAUGACACUUAACCCACCCUAGCAUUGCCAUCAUCCUCUCCACAUAGAUUCUCACUAUUGAAAUCUCCUCACCUUUCCUUGUGGUUCUCUUGGACUCUUAUUAAAAUGGCCAAGUUGACCCAUUGUCACUUAUGGCCUAUUAACAGUGCCUCCAAUCCUCAGAGUGUGCAGACUGAUUAAAGCAACUUCCAUCAUUGUCUUUGGAAUGGGUCAGGCAUCAUCCUAUGGUGUUUUUCAAAUGUCAGGGUGUAUAUACUUCAAGCUCUUGGUGAUCUCGUGACAGCCAUUUCAAUAGGCAUGAAGCAAAAUGGCAAGCAAUAUCCCCAUAAAGACUCAUAUAAACUACUCUCUCUAAAAUUUCUCUUCACCAAGUUUCCUCUCCAAACCAUAUUUAUUUGCUUCUCAUGCUUCUGAGCCUUUUAACUGACCAUAACCAACAAGCCUAAAUGUCUAAAUUAUUAAAUAACAACUGUGACUUUUAAUAACAUAAAUUCAAUUUUUCUUUUAAUUUAUAUAGAUCUAUAGCUGCAUGUAUGUAGGAAGAAUACACUAUAGACUUGUUUAGAUAGAUAUAUUAUAGAAUUAUAAAUAUAUAUAACUAAAUAUAUGUAUUAUGUAUAACUAAAUUUAUUAUUUACUAUGAAAUCCUCAUUUAUUAUAUUUAUUUUUAGAUAUAUCUGAGUAUUUAGUAAGUGAUAUACUUGAGAGAGGAAACAUAGUUGUAUAAUAGUGUUCAUUUGUUAAACAUUAAAUUUUUUUAAAAUAUUCAAGACGUAGAUGUUCACAAGUAUUGUUCACUAAGGGCUUGAAUCAUUUUAUUUAAAAAAAUAUAACAGUAUUUGUUAGAAUCUCAAUUUGCUCCUUAAGCUUUUACUAUAUCGGCAUAAGAAAUAUUUAAACCUUUAUCUGGUAUGCCAGACAUGACAGGUAGCUGCUUUAUAAAUCUUACAGAGAUCAAUAAGAAGGAAUUAUGGACAGUUUCUUUUUUACACGGAGAAAAAAUUGAAGACAUUUUCUUAAAAUGACAUUAUUAUAGUAAAUAUCUAUGCGAGAAUAAGCAGUGCUAAAAAUCUCACUUUAAGCAUUCACUGGAGUCUGAUCGAUAAUAAGCAGUUAGAAUCUAGAUAAACUUCAGUUAUUUGGCAGAAUAAACAGGCAAAAUUUGAUUUUUCUUGAAAUAUUUUUAGAACAAAAACAAGUUGAGGAGAAAAAUGAUGAAGAACUUUCUAAGAUGAACAAAUGCCCUAGCUGUCAGUUAAAUAAUUUAACAAUUGUGUUAAAUUUGGAGAAUUGAUUCAGAUAAGUACUUAUUUAUAAGAUAGCCUUCAUACAACAGCAUUUCUCAAGGAUAAAAGCAUUCAGUAAUACACAAGCACUGAUUGUAUAAGUUACUGUAACCAUUUUUAUUUUUAUAUUUGACAUGUAAGUAGUUACUGUGUUGGUAAAAUUAACUAUGUGACUACCACAGUAAGAUCUGCUAAAUUUCUAUUACUUUAUAUAAUGUAUAUAUAUAAUAUGUUUGUAUAUAUGUUAAUUUAUAUAUAACAUAAUGUUAAUUUAUAUAUAUACAUAUAUAUACAGGUAUAAAAUGUAAUAGAAUAAUGUUACAAAUAUGUUUUACUUGGUGAGCAGAGUAUUUGUGAUAAACAGAAAUAAAUUUAGAUAAAUUAUAUACUUUGUUCUCCACAGUUAGGGCCCAGGUUAGGUCACCCCUAAAUGUGCCUCAGGUGUUACUGAACUAACUUGGGUCUGCUGUGCAUUUGCAAUAAAGCCAAUUUAUUGACAUGGGGUUGUAGUGAAGGAAAGUGCAGCAUUUAUAGUAGGAGCCAAGCACGGAGCACAGGAGGCUAAUGCUCAAAAGACCAGAACUUCCCAAACAUUUUAGGGAAUGGUUUUUAAAUGCAAGGUGAGGGAGAGAUUUGCAGAUUGUGUAAUUAGCUCCUGCACAAUUCUCUGACUGGUUCAUGGUGAGGCAGCAGUGAUGCCACAGGGAUUCGUAUCAUUAAUACCAAGGGCCCAGGAAGUUUAGAGGCUACACACUCAUGAUUGUCAGUAGUUCACUUCUUCCAU